AUUGAACGCUGGCGGCAUGCCUUACACAUGCAAGUCGAACGGCAGCGCGGACUUCGGUCUGGCGGCGAGUGGCGAACGGGUGAGUAAUACAUCGGAACGUACCCUGUUGUGGGGGAUAACUAGUCGAAAGAUUAGCUAAUACCGCAUACGACCUGAGGGUGAAAGUGGGGGACCGGAAACGGCCUCAUGCAGCAGGAGCGGCCGAUGCCUGAUUGGCUAGUUGGUGGGGUAAAGGCCCACCAAGGCGACGAUCAGUAGCUGGUCUGAGAGGACGAUCAGCCACCCUGGGACUGAGACACGGCCCAGACUCCUACGGGAGGCAGCAGUGGGGAAUUUUGGACAAUGGGGGCAACCCUGAUACAGCAAUGCCGCGUGUGUGAAGAAGGCCUUCGGGUUGUAAAGCACUUUUGUCCGGAAAGAAAUCGCGCUGGUUAAUACCUGGCGUGGAUGACGGUACCGGAAGAAUAAGCACCGGCUAACUACGUG
rnacentral:rRNA from 1 species